GCAUCGAUGGUUCAGUGGUAAAAUGCUCGCAUGCCGGGUUCGAUUCCCGGCCGAUGCA
rnacentral:tRNA from 1 species